UCACGUGACUCCCAGCGCCCAGGCCCUGGCGGCGGAGGCGGCCGUGAUGAAGCCCAGGCCUGCGGGUUUUGUGGAUAACAAGCUGAAGCAGCGAGUCAUCCAGUACCUCACCAGUAACAGAUGUGGCCAAUAUGUGGACACUGGACUUUUAGCAGCUGAUCUACAGAGAAUGUACAGUAUAGACUAUGGUCGAAGAAAAAGAAAUGCCUUUCGGAUUCAGGUAGAAAGAGUGUUUAGCAUAAUUAGUAGUGAGAAGGAACAUAAGGAUCUUAAAGAAUUAGAAGAUGAACAUCUGGCAAAAAGAGCAAGACAAAGCGGAGAGGAUAAUGAGUAUUUUGGAAGCUAUUCAGAUGAUGACUCAGAUAUGGAAGAUUGCCCAGAUCCACAGUUGGCAAAUCACAUGAACAGCUCCCUGCUCUCCUUGUAUCGGAAAGGAAAUCCUGACUCCGUUUCAAGUGCUCCCGAGAUGCAGCAGAGAGAAACCAGCGUUUCAGCACCACCGAUACCUUCCCAAACCGGCCCCCCUCCUCUGAGGACGCCUGCCAGAGGUUCCGAAGAAGGGUGGUUUGUUGACAAAACUCCAGGUGGAAGGAAAGACAGUUUUUUCUCGGACCUACCAGAGGAGAAAAGUAAUAAUAAGAAGCCAGUAUCUGAGAUACAGGAUUCAAAAGAGUCUUCUCUUCUGGAGAGUAAUAAGAAAAGGAAGGGCAGGUUAAAGAGCAAAGGAGACAAAAGGAAGAAAGAAGAUCUUCAGGAAGUAGAUGGAGAAAUAGAAGCCAUCCUGCAAAAGAAAGCUAACACCAUAGGGCUGGAAUUCCAGAUCUCCAACGUGAAGUUUGAAGACGUUGGAGGCAAUGAUACGACGUUAAAGGAAGUCUGCAAGAUGCUCAUACACAUGCGUCAUCCGGAGGUCUACCAGCACUUGGGAGUCAUCCCCCCUCGUGGCGUUCUCCUUCAUGGGCCACCAGGCUGCGGGAAGACGCUGCUUGCACACGCGAUUGCGGGGGAACUUGACCUUCCAAUUCUGAAAGUAGCUGCUACGGAGAUUGUGUCUGGAGUAUCUGGAGAAUCGGAACAGAAGCUGAGAGGACUGUUUGAACAAGCUGUGUCUAAUGCACCCUGCGUCCUUUUUAUUGAUGAAAUUGAUGCCAUUACCCCCAAAAGAGAAGUUGCUUCGAAGGAUAUGGAACGAAGAAUUGUCGCCCAGCUCCUCACCUGCAUGGACGAUCUGAACAGCGUGGCUGCUACAGCUCGGGUCCUCGUCAUCGGGGCUACGAACCGGCCAGACUCCUUAGACCCUGCUCUGCGACGCGCGGGAAGGUUUGACCGGGAAAUAUGCCUUGGCAUCCCGGAUGAAGCAUCCAGGGAAAGAAUACUUCAGACUCUGUGCAGAAAACUAAGAUUCCCCGAAACGUCUCAUUUCCGGCACUUGGCGCACCUAACGCCAGGCUUCGUCGGCGCGGAUCUGAUGGCGCUGUGCCGUGAGGCAGCUGUGUGUGCGGUCGGCAGGGUCUUGGCGCAGCUGCAGGCCGGGCCGGGGGGAGACCCGGAGCGGGAAGGUCGGCUGUCGGAGGGCGGCCAGGACGGAGGCGCAGGAAGGGAGCCCGCGUGUACGGCGCAGGCGCCGUCUGCACAGGAUGAAUUGCAGAGUCUGCUGAGGUUGCUAAGAAACCAAGAUCCCCUCUCAGAGGAGCAGCUGCAAGGGCUGUGCGUUGAAUUAAAUGAUUUCAUUGUUGCUUUGUCCUCCGUCCAACCCUCUGCCAAAAGGGAAGGCUUUGUCACUGUGCCUAAUGUGACAUGGGCAGAUAUUGGUGCCCUGGAAGACAUUAGGGAUGAGCUCACCAUGGCAAUAUUGGCUCCAGUGCGUAACCCAGAGCAGUUCCAGGCACUCGGACUGGUGACUCCGGCCGGAGUGCUCCUUGCCGGCCCUCCGGGCUGUGGGAAGACUCUGCUGGCGAAGGCUGUUGCAAAUGAGUCUGGACUAAACUUCAUAUCUGUCAAGGGCCCGGAACUACUAAAUAUGUACGUCGGGGAGAGUGAGCGCGCUGUGCGGCAGGUUUUUCAGCGAGCCAAGAACUCAGCGCCCUGUGUGAUCUUCUUUGAUGAAGUGGAUGCCUUAUGCCCUCGAAGAUCAGACCGAGAGACCGGGGCAAGUGUCCGGGUGGUGAAUCAGCUGCUCACAGAGAUGGAUGGUCUGGAAACACGGCAGCAGGUCUUUAUUCUGGCAGCCACUAACCGGCCAGAUAUCAUUGACCCUGCGAUCCUGCGCCCAGGCCGCCUGGAUAAAACCCUUUUCGUGGGUUUGCCGCCCCCAGCAGAUCGCCUGGCCAUCCUGAAAACGAUCACGAAGAAUGGCACCAAACCCCCACUGGACGCAGAUGUGCAUCUGGAAGCGAUCGCCGGGGACCAUCGCUGCGAAGGCUACUCGGGCGCGGACCUCUCUGCUUUGGUGCGAGAAGCUUCUCUCUGUGCCCUGAGGCAGGAGAUGGCGAGACAGAAAAGUGGAGACGAAAGAGGUGAACUCAAGAUUAGUCAGAAGCAUUUUGAAGAAGCUUUCAAGAAAGUAAAAUCAUCUAUAUCAAAAAAGGUAGUCGUGGUGCGGGAACGAGUGACCUUCAGUCCCUGUGCAGCGUCCCUGGCAGCUCCAGUCUGCCCGCCGUGUCCAAACACAACAAAUGCAGCGUCGUGGGCCCCACACACCAAACUACUUCCUCGAGACCAGAGAGCUGAUUGAUUAAACAGCGUGGAUAGGAAAACCUGCUCUCCCACUCCGGCUGACCAGGAGUAUGCCUGGAAGCGGCCUUCUGUGUCCUGUCUCCUGGGGAGCUACUAAAAUGUCCUGCCUUCACUGACUGGUGCGACUUGUAAUUGUAAGCUUUAGGAAGUAGUGUGUAGCAUUUCUUUCCUUUGAAUUCAACCAGCUGGUAUCAGAACCCUUUGCACAGCAGCCAGUCAGUACACGUGGAAGUUGGGAAAAACAGGCAUGUCUGGUGAGCCCCUGGAGAGGGAGCAGCCUGCCAGGGGGAGGGGUGGAGAGGGGGACUAGCUGCCUCCUGUCCCUCCAGCCUGCUUGGCACCCAGAAUCAACCUGCACCGUCCUGCAAGACCAAACUGCUGCCCUCACAGAAGGCUCGAUGCCCAGGCCUGAUGUCCGGGUUCCAGGGCUCGAAAACCUGGUUGCCCCAGACACCCCCUUGUCUGCGCCCACGCCCAGGCCUCGGGGUUUUCUGUUUAUGUCUUCUGAUGGCCUCUGAGGGCCUGUCAGGGCAGAGCUAAGUCCUUCCAGGCUUAGUCCUUGACCCUCCUAGUUUUCUGAGACUGUCCGCUUCGACAGUGCCCAUUGAGUCCAGGCCAGAACAUCGGCACAAAAGGAGGGCGUAAACCAAGAAAAAGGAAGAUGUGGUAUAGAGGGGUCCCGCACAGGAGGGAGGGAAAGGGAGCCCUCAGGGAGGGCGGCUGUGCCCCAGACCAGCCGGGCAGCCUGUCCAGGCGUCAGCAGUGACUCAGAAAAAAGACAUGUUAAGGGCUAUAGUCACAGGACGACCGACCGCCCUCCUACAGUCUUUGAACACGAAGACAGAAUGUCCAAGGUGUGCCGGGCCCACUUAUCUCUAUUUGCCUGCUUCUGUCGGUUCACUGGGGAAGGCCACACCUCGCUCCCCAGAGCACCUGGGGAGACCCGGCUGCCUUUGCAGCCUCCGGCAGCUGGGUCAAGUCUGGAGGCAGCCCACUCACUCCCUCUGACCGUGUGCCUGCUGGACAGGCCGCACCCCGUUCCCACGGGCCCCAGGGAGCCCUCCGGGAACUGAAGCCAGACCCUGCCCAGGCUGCCUCAGGGGCACCGUGCGUCUCCUGGGGACAUUGUCACCCUUGCCCUACAAACUGAGGUUUGCACUUGCUCCUCGGCUUCUCAGAACAAAACAACGGUGUUUGAGGAGAGGCGCACAGAACUAAGAUGAUGAAAAGGACGGGCAAGGGAGCGGCCCCCUCUGAGGAGUGCAGGGUAUGCAGAGGGUGCUGCUCUGGGGCCCUCUGUGGUGCUUGUUCUUUUUUUAACCACUUUACCGAGGCAGGUGACGUACACAGGCUGCACAUACUCAAUGUGCACGAUUCAGUGAGUGUGGAAGCCAGUUUUCUGCCGCCCUCUUAAUUCAUUUUAUUUUUGUUUGUGGUGAGAACAGUUGACAUAAGAUCUGCCCUCUUAGCAAAUGUCCAAGUGCAGGGAACCUUUGAACAGCGUGGGCAUGACCUGGGCGACUCCGCUGUUUGUGGGCUUUUUUCAGUGACUGCUGUACAUGUACUUUCCAUGUGGUUUUCUUAGUAACAUCAUUUCUCUGGCUCAGUGUGUUGUAAGGAAACUUUAUGUAACACGUAUACCAGACGAAACACGUGUCAAUCACCCGUUUGUGUUAUCAGUAAGGCUUCUGGUGAACAGUAGGCUCUUAGUGGUUACGUUCCUGGAGGGUCAGGAGUUACGUGGGGGUUUUUGCCUGCCCAGGGGGUCAGGGCCCCAGCCCCUCAUCGUUUACGGGUCGAUGGCACAUGCUGUGGAAUCCGUGACAACAGGCAGGGCACUGUCCUGAGAGCUGUGGGACUCGCCUUCCCUGACAGGACUUUGUACCCUUGACCAGUGCUUCCGGUCACCUGUCCACUGCUCCAUUCCUAUCGCCAUUCCUGAAACUGUAUAGACAUUUUAUACUGCUUUCUGUGUUUGUGACAUAUUUCACAGCAAGAACACUGUUCAUGUCAAAGUUCCUUUCAGGAAAAACGACUUGGCUGAAAGCAGAGGUGAGGUAGGAGUGAUCAGGCCCUAAAUUACCGAGUGACUUUCCGAGCCGGGGGAAAGCCUCCCUGGGUCAAACAGAAGGCAGAGAAGCGGGAGCCGUGAGCUUUGGCCCCCCGCCAGCCUGACUCACUGGGCAAUGAGCAAGAGCUCUCAGGAGGUGCGGGGUCCAGGCGCACACGGGCCCCUAAGGGGGAGUCUAUAUGCAGAGCCGUUGCAGACGAACACCCACAAACAAGCAAACUGCGCCUUUGUGUCCACACCUUCCACCCCCUCUUCUUCCUCCUCCCCUGCCGCGCGUCCAGUCAGCCCUGUGUGCUGAGCUCAUCCACUCAAAUGAAAGUUCACUCCCAUGGAGCCUCAGAGGGCCCUUCUCUCUAAAACCUGCUUCUGCAUUUUUUUGAGCUGCUGCUUCUGAGCUGGAGGGAGGCAUUUGGAGGUCGAAAGGCGGCAGAGAAUGCCUGGGCAAGGGCGUUUGUGUGAUUGACAGCAAAGGGGACGAGGGGCCAAUGCCAGGGGCCCUUCUUACCGCUGUUUAUCAUGUAAUGCAGCUGGGGACAAAAAGACAAGACUUUCGGAAUUACUUUAGGUCUCAAAUCUCGACGGAUUCUACAGUUGUUUUCACCUGGGGUCUGUGACAGGUUCAGACAGCAGAUUAACAUUAAGCCAAGUUCACGUCAGGCAAGGUUCGUGAUUUUUUAAUUGGCAUCCAGGCACAAUAGAUACGGUGAUUUGCAGUCCACUUGUAACUGGAAAUUAGAAGCUGAAGGGCAGUAAUGUAAGUGGGAGGAGAGGUUUCAUUAAUUAUUGACUGGCUACUUCGAGCCAGGCUCUGUGCAGGUUGCUGGGAAUGCAGCUCCAAGCAAAAUUAAAGUCCCUGCCCCCUGGGCCUUUCCCGGGGACUGGGGCAGGGGACCACAGAGGCAACAAGUCCAAGUGCAGGCACUAGUCCGUGUGCACACACACACGUCACCGAUUGCAAGUGCUGUGCAGAGGAGGAGGGUGGGGCCACAGGGGCCGCUUGCGUGGGUCUGUGGGUUGCUGGGUGUAUUGUGUGGACUGGUCAGCAAAGGCAGUGAGGGUGAGCCCUGCAGGUCCUGGGGGAGAAUUCACUGAGCGGUGGGAGCAGCGGGGUGCCUGCUGCACAUUCCACAAGGUCAGGUGCACGUGGCUGCCGUUCCUCAGUGGCUCCUUACUCGGACCCACGUGGGCCCCGUAAUGCAAGUGCCCUUCAUUAGUCCCAGGAGGAAAAAUGGGAAUCUACUCCCAACUUUGCCACUGCCCUGAACACUCUGCCAGCCUCCUCAUCAGAACUGUACAAAAACAGUGACACCUGGUCAUCCUCUUUCCUGAGGCUGGGAGCUCCCUAACAAACUGGGUCUCAUCAUAGGCCAGGUAGGUGGUCUGGCAAUGACACAUCUGUCCCCCUCGCUGGACAGGAAGCCUCUCCAGGGCGGAGCCUUGCUGCCUCGCACCUGCCACAGCUCCAUCUGUGGUACGGAUGUCCUGUAACCUCUUUGGGGGGCGGGGGUGCAGAGCAGUCAGUGCAUCUGCAGGCCUCGGGGUCGCACAGAUCAUCACCAGGAGGCGGAGGUCGUUACCCAGGUCAUUAGCAGUGUGUCUGUGAGCCACCUGCCCUCACACGUUCUAACUCAUUCAAUUGCACAAUAACCCCGAGAGGGAGGUGGGACUAUUAUCCUAUAAUUACAGAUGGAGAAAGUGACCACACAGAGUGGGAGUUGCCUGGGGCAAGAGUAGGGAGGAAUUGGGCAAGUCUUAUCCAACUGAAAAUCCCUUCUUUGAGGAAACAAAGAACGAUUAUGAGGCAUUUAAAGGGCCAGGGUUGAACACUCCUAGUCACAAGGCAGGGGACGGGCGACUCAUGAAAGGAGAGAGGACUUAAGUGCCAGCUGCGGGCCAGCACAAUAAAGGCCGAAGUGUGCAGUGGCGGACGGCGGUGUGGGGGGGCAGCGUUCAGCGCACUGGGGCAGUUUUGUUGGGCGGGAAAGAAGGCAAAGACACUCAGGGAGGGAGCAGGAAGGCGUACUGACCACCCACGUGCCAUGCCGCUUCUCAAAGACCACCCCUGUUAACGUCCUCUGAACGCUUGCCUCUACGCGUUCUGCCGUCCAGCUGGGUGGAGGUGGCCGUGGGCCCGGACGCACGAUUGCCUCGCUGUGUCCAGUCCUGUCCUCCCUCAUUCCUGCAAUCACAGGCACCCAGAGGUGAAGGGUCCCCAAGGCCCUGGGGCCAGAAUCCUUUUGCCUGGUGUUCCUGGCCGGUGCCACCCUGCAGUAAGAGGUGCCAGCUGGCAGAACCUAUUGCAGGGAAGGACACAAGGCCACCUCGCAGCUCAGAGCGCGCCCUGGCUCCAGGUGAGGGCCGGCCCUGAACCGCGUGCUGGGUGGGAACCCAAGUUACAUUGUUUGUUUUUGUUUUUUAAAUCUUCUGUUCAGUCGGUACAAAUGCCCGUGGCAUUGCCCGCGAGCACUGGUGUCAUACGUGUCAUUCUGCUCCAGCUGCCACGACACAGCACAGACCGGGCACCUUGAAAAUAGAAGUGGGCUUCUCAUCGUUCUGGAGGCUGAAGUCCAGCAUCAGUGCACCAACAAAGCAGGGUUCAUCCUGAGGCCUCUUUCCUCGGCUCACAGUGGGGGAUUGCGUGUGAUUGCCGACACGCACACCCGUGAGUUGGGUGGGCUGGCAGUACACUGCGGAAAGGAGCGGGGGUGAGAGGCCGAUCCUCCCCCUUGCCUUCCCCUCCACCCACCACCCCAUCUCUGCCCCCUGCCACCUGGCACAUCCACAGGAAGCUGAGUUUUGAAAACCCCAUUUCAUGUGGCCAUUCUGGUCCCGGAACAAGUAUCUAUGCAAAUUAGAUAGUUAGAAAACCACGCCAUCUCACCAGGAGUGCAGAGAAACGCAAGGUGCCAGGACCAGCUUGAAUACCUCCUAGUGUUGGCUGGAGAGGGGUGGGCCGUGGACUGCCAGACCUCAGGCCGGGGGGUGGGCAGGCACAUGGCGUGUGGCCCGGAUGCAGGGCCAGCUCAGCCCCUUGCCAAGAGUGAGCAGCCCUCGGCUGCCUCUGGCUGUGCGGGGGGCCUUGGAUGGGGCGUCA